UACGUAGGGGGCAAGCGUUGUCCGGAUUUAUUGGGCGUAAAGCGCGUGUAGGUGGCCCUGUACGUCCGCUGUGAAAACUUGAGGCUCAACCUCAAGCUGUCGGUGGAAACCACAUGGCUAGAGUCCGGAAGAGGAGAGUGGAAUUCCUGGUGUAGCGGUGAAAUGCGCAGAUAUCAGGAAGAACACCCGUGGCGAAAGCGGCUCUCUGGGACGGUACUGACGCUGAGACGCGAAAGCGUGGGGAGCGAACAGG
rnacentral:rRNA from 1 species